rnacentral:rRNA from 1 species
CCUACUCUUGACAUCNACAGAAGCCAGCGGAGACGCAGGUGUGCCUUCGGGAACUGUAAGACAGGUGAUGCAUGGCUGUCGUCAGCUCGUGUUGUGAAAUGUUGGGUUAAGUCCCGCAACGAGCGCAACCCUUAUCCUUGUUUGCCAGCACUUCGGGUGGGAACUCCAGGGAGACUGCCGGUGAUAAACCGGAGGAAGGUGGGGACGACGUCAAGUCAUCAUGGCCCUUANGAGUAGGGCUACACACGUGCUACAAUGGCGCAUACAGAGGGCGGCCAACUUGCGAAAGUGAGCGAAUCCCAAAAAGUGCGUCGUAGUCCGGAUUGGAGUCUGCAACUCGACUCCAUGAAGUCGGAAUCGCUAGUAAUCGUGGAUCAGAAUGCCACGGUGAAUACGUUCCCGGGCCUUGUACACACCGCCCGUCACACCAUGGGAGUGGGCUGCAAAAGAAGUGGGUAGUUUAACCUUCGGGAGGACGCUCACCACUUUGUGGUUCAUGACUGGGGUGAAGUCGUAACAAGGUAACCG